GUUGUCGCGAGGCAGGGUCUGGAAGAAGCCGAACCCAAAGCUGCGGGGCGAUGAACAAGAACUGGAUAUGAGGCGUGAUACAUCCGGGGCGAGCGGGCACGUGACCGCGAAGCCCUCGGCUUUGGCAUCCUGCGUCGCCCUACCUCCUGCAUCCCUGCAGUCGUCCAUCUACGAUCGGGAUGUGUUUUGUAAAUCCGGCGUUCGCGCAGCGAAAGAAACGUGU
rfam:Methylomonas sp. LWB scaffold9_size193256, whole genome shotgun sequence.